rnacentral:rRNA from 1 species
CCUACGGGAGGCAGCAGUAGGGAAUAUUGCUCAAUGGGCGAAAGCCUGAAGCAGCAACGCCGCGUGCGCGAUGAAGGCCCUCGGGUCGUAAAGCGCUUUUCUGAGAGAUGAGAAAGGACAGUAUCUCAGGAAUAAGUCUCGGCUAACUACGUGCCAGCAGCCGCGGUAAAACGUAGGAGGCGAGCGUUAUCCGGAUUCACUGGGCGUAAAGCGCGUGCAGGCGGUUCGGUAAGUUGGGCGUGAAAUCUCUUGGCUUAACUAGGAGAGGUCGUUCAAUACUACCGGACUUGAGAGUGGUAGAGGAAGAUGGAAUUCCCGGUGUAGUGGUGAAAUGCGUAGAUAUCGGGAGGAACACCAGUGGCGAAAGCGAUCUUCUGGACCAUUUCUGACGCUCAGACGCGAAAGCUAGGGUAGUAAACGGGAUUAGAGACCCCGGUAAUCCUAGCCGUAAACGAUGUAAACUUGGCGUCGGUGGCUUAAACACCAUCGGUGCCGCAGCUAACGCGAUAAGUUUACCGCCUGGGGACUACGGAUCGCAAGA